GACGAAGGAUGCAAGCGUUAUCCGGAUUCAUUGGGUUUAAAGGGAGCGUAGGCGGCCUUAUAAGUCAGUGGUGAAAUCUCCGAGCUUAACUCGGAAAUUGCCAUUGAUACUGUAGGGCUUGAGUACAGUUGCUGUGGGCGGAAUAUGACAUGUAGUGGUGAAAUACAUAGAGAUGUCAUAGAACACCGAUUGCGAAGGCAGCUCACAAAACUGUAACUGACGCUGAGGCUCGAAAGCGUGGGGAGCGAACAGG
rnacentral:rRNA from 1 species